rnacentral:rRNA from 1 species
AUGAACGCUGGCGGCGUGGAUAAGGCAUGCAAGUCAAGGGGUUACUGAAGCCGCAAGGCUGAAGUAAAACCGGCAGACGAGGUAGUAAUAAUCAAGUAUGUACCAGAGAGUCGGGCAUAGCCAUCCGAAAGGGUGGGUAAAUCCCGAUGGCCUCCGAGACGCAAGUCUAGGAGUAAAAAUUUAUUGCUCUCUGAACAGCUUGAUCGGUAUCAGCUAGUUGGCGAGGUAAAAGCUCACCAAGGCUAUGACGCCUAGGGGACCUGAGAGGGUGACCCCCACCGAUGGGACUGAGACACGGCCCAUACACCUACGGGUGGCUGCAGUCGAGAAUCUUCCGCAAUGGACGAAAGUCUGACGGAGCGACGCCGCGUGGAGGAUGAAGUUCUUCGGAAUGUAAACUCCUUUUGCCAGGGAAAAAGUUAUUGAUUGUACCUGGAGAAUAAGAAGUUGCUAAACUCGU